rnacentral:rRNA from 1 species
UACGUAGGGUGCAAGCGUUGUCCGGAAUUAUUGGGCGUAAAGAGCUCGUAGGCGGUUUGUCGCGUCGGCUGUGAAAACUCGGGGCUCAACCCCGAGCCUGCAGUCGAUACGGGCAGACUAGAGUGCUGUAGGGGAGACUGGAAUUCCUGGUGUAGCGGUGAAAUGCGCAGAUAUCAGGAGGACACCGGUGGCGAAGGCGGGUCUCUGGGCAGUAACUGACGCUGAGGAGCGAAAGCUGGGGAGCGAAACAGG